rnacentral:rRNA from 1 species
GAUGAACGCUGGCGGCGUGCUUAACACAUGCAAGUCGAACGGAAAGGCCCAAGCUUGCUUGGGUACUCGAGUGGCGAACGGGUGAGUAACACGUGGGUGAUCUGCCCUGCACUUGGGGAUAAGCCUGGGAAACUGGGUCUAAUACCGGAUAGGACCACAUUUUGGAUGGUGUGGUGGAAAGCUUUUCGGUGUGGGAUGAGCUAGCGGCCUAUAAGCUUGUUGGUGGGGUAAAGGCCUACCAAGGCGUCGACGGGUAGCCGGCCUGAGAGGGUGUACGGCCGGACUGGGCCUCAGAGGCGGGCCAGAGUCGGGAAGGUUGGAGCAGUGGGGAAUAUUGCACAAAGGGAGCAAGCCUGAUGCAGCGACGCCGCGUGGGUGAUGACGGCCUUCGGGUUGUAAAAACCGUUCGCGAGGGACAAAGCGUUGUUGUGACGGUACCUGGAGAAGAAGCACCGGCUAACUACGUG